rnacentral:piRNA from 1 species
GAUGGGCUCUUGUACUUGUUGGAUGUCUGU